GAUGAAGAACGCAGCGAAAUGCGAUAACUAGUGUGAAUUGCAGAAUUCAGUGAAUCAUCGAAUCUUUGAACGCACAUUGCGCCCGCGAGUAUUCUCGCGGGCAUGCCUGUCCGAGCGUCAUUUCAACCCUCAGGGCCCGCCUGCUUCGGCAGGCGCGGCGCUGGUGUUGGGGAUCGGCCUAACCGCCGUCCCCCAAAUACAGUGGCGGUCUCGCUGCAGCCUCCCCUGCGUAGUAGCAACACUCGCAUGCGGAGCGCGGCGCGGCCACGCCGUAAAACCCCCGACUUUCUGAACGUUGACCUCGGAUCAGGUAGGAAUACCCGCUGAACUUAAGCAUAUCAAUAAGCGGAGGA
rnacentral:misc_RNA from 1 species